AUGGGCUCCAGGCUCCUGUGCUGUGUGGCUCUUUGUCUCCUGGGAGCAGGCCUGGUGGAUUCUGGAGUCACUCAGACCCCAGAAUACCUGAUCAAGUCAAGACAACAGCAAGUGACCCUGAGAUGUUCUCCUGUCUCUGGACACCUCUCCGUGUACUGGUACCAACAGGUCCUCGGCCAGGGCCCUCAGUUCCUUGUUCAGUAUUACGACAGGCAAGUGAGAGACAAAGGAAACCUCCCAGAACGAUUCUCAGGUCAACAGUUCAGUGACUCUAGCUCUCAGCUGAACUUGAGCUCCUUGGAGCUGCCGGACUCGGCCCUGUAUCUCUGUGCCAGUACCUGUGGCCCUGUGAAGUUGACACAAUACAUUAGCCAUAGCACCAACCUGCAGGGCUGCAGAUGGGGCAGGUUUCCUCUCCCCACCUCCCUGGCGUCAGCUCCCCGGCCCUCCCUACUGCAGCCUCGCUGCUCCGUCCUCAUCGGGGUCAUCUCUGUCAUGGUCUGA